rnacentral:lncRNA from 1 species
CCACUAUUAACCUCACCUGUGUCUCUCCCUGUAUGCCAGAGGGAAUCCAUUCAGUUGAAAAGCAGACUGCUGUGAAGUAGGGAAUGAGGUGCUUUGUGUGAGGGGACAUGUUCUGAUUAGCUGAUGUUUCUGUACUGAUAUUUCCUGUAGGUUUCUUGGGAAGAGUGUUCACUCAAAUUGUAGCAGACUGAUGAUGCAGAGGGGAAUGUGGAUAAAAGUGACACAGCACUGGAUUUCUUGGCUUACUGCCCAGGGAAGAGCCUCAGUACCAGCCCUUUUUUUGUGGUGUUUGGACUCGUAGAGAGUUCUGAAGUCCAUUCAGAGACCAAAGGAAGCACACUGUUGCUGGAAAAAGAGAGGAGAUUCAAAGACAAGGGGCUUCAUGAUGCUGUGAUUCUGUAUGAACACAAAGAAAGUGAGCUGAAAGGUUGUAAUGAAUGAACCAGUGCAGCAGUGACACUGUGCAUCCCUGGCAGCUGCCUUUUGGUGUAGGCUAAAGCAACUGAAGUGUCUGCUUUCACACUCAGGUGCUUUGAAGACAGACACUACAGAGCAUUCGCUCUCAGCUUUGGAGACAUGAACUGUCCUUUUGCUGGACAAAGGUAUGCAUACUAUUCUCUGUCAUAUUUAAACACAAAAAUAUUUUCACUU